UAGAGAAAAGCAAGAAUAAAGUUUUAUUUCUGAAAAAUUCUAGUAAGAGAAUUGUAAAACAGCUCAAAAUCUUACAAGUUCAUACUGAAAAAUCCAUCUAGAAAUGUCAAAAGUCUGUCACUGUUAAUCAGCUGCCAUUUUGAUUCAAGCUGAUUAAAAAGAAGUGAUAUCCAUUUGGAACUGAAACAUCUAACCAAUCCAAUCUGAAAAAAUGAAACACAGAAGCACAUUUUAUCAGGGGUGCCCUGCAGCAGGGUAUACUCUUGAAUUUUUCAUGUUUUAAGCCAACAGAAAAAUGUUUUUGCAGACACCUUGGAGCACAGUACAUACUAAAAGAAAUGAAGUAAGGUACUGUUAGUUCUUCAUCGAUAUUUCAUGUCUGCUUGUAAUUAAUUUCAUGACUCUCUCUAGUGGCAGCAAAUUGCGCUACUGCUUGGUAUUAACUGUCAAUUUUGCUUUGGAAAUGGUUUUAUUUACAGGUAACUAGAAAACAAAUUUGGUUGUGCCUUAUGUUCCAGCAACACACAUGAAAGUUAAUUAUAAGAAGAAAAAAACAAAGCUUGUGAAACAGUUCUGUGCUGUGGACCAAGGGAGGGCCACUGAAAAACCCAUUUUCCAGCAAAUUGUGAUCCAUUAACAAAACAGAACUGCAAAACUGAGAUAGCAUCUGUCACCACUAAUAAAUUAGAAACUUAAAUUGAGAGAUAAUUCAGGAAUGAUGACAACAAAUGACCACAAGUUGCUCAACCAAAGUCAGAAAAGUGGCAAGCAUGAUUCCAGGAAAUUAAGAGCUACCUUUGGCAGGCUGUUUCAAGAAGCACAGACAGGGCAUGCCAGAGACCAAGGCUAAGGUACCUUUUCUGACACUCUUCUGUUGCAAUCAAGAACAAUUUGCCUCUUCCUAUACUUCAUUCUUGACCUUGUGUAUUUAGACUUUAUAUGGUCUUGACCUAAAAGAAGUUUUUAUAAUCAGUACAUGGUCUGAGCCCUGUUGCCAUUAUAUUGAUGGACUUUCCUGUUUGAGCUAUCUGAGUGCUGUUUUGUGGAGCAUGGGGUGGCAAGAAAAGCCUUCAUUAUUUUGGUCUAUAUAGUCAACUAGAUUUUAUAAAGUAGCAUUAACGUUCACUAUGUUUUAAAACCUCAGAACUAUUAGGAUUGUUCUGUUAAGACAGAAGUAGUACAAAAUGUGUUAAUCCUGUUUGGUCUGACCCAUCUGGAAGGCACCAGUCUGCUAUAACUAUCCUGUUAAUCUUGCUGUAGAUCUAAUUUUUACA
rnacentral:lncRNA from 1 species